rnacentral:lncRNA from 1 species
CCCCCCCCCCCCCCCCCCCCCCCCCCCCCCCCCCCCCCCCCCCCCCCCCCGGCUGAUUCUCAUUUCGAGGCCAUUUCAGGAGCCUGGAGAAGGGAAAGGGGAAGGGAGGGGGAGGAAGAGGGGGGGACUCUUUCAAAUUAUACAAAGCGGGGGGAGCUGGUGAAUGGUUCAGUGGUGAUGUGGAAAAAUGACUCCCCCCUCCCCUCUUUUUCCUCCCCAUCCCUUGGCUCCAGCUGGGACACAGCCCCCACUGUCCCCCCACGUGGGGAUCUGAGCUGUGAAACAGCAGCAAAAAAGUAUCAAAAAAAAAAAAAAAAAAAAAAAAAAAAAAAAAAAAGAGAAGAAAAUAGUUGAAAAUCGGUCACAUUCCAGAGAGAUUAGAGCCAGUCCUGGGUCCUUGUUACCAGCCAAUUAAAACCAGGGAUAACCCCUUCCCUGCUGGAGCUCAUCCCUCUGGGAGCCCCCAGACCCCGGAAGACAAGGGGCCAGGGGAUCCCCUGAUGUCCAAUUAAGGGUGUUCAUGAGAGGAUUUCCGCUCCUCUUCUCCAGAGGGAUCAAUCCAAUUGCGGAGACUUCCCUGGGAAGGGGGAAAAGCGCUGCUGGAGAAGCCCUGGCUGGUGCUGGGCUGGGCUGGGUGUCCUGGUGUGGCACAUGCCACCAUCCUUUAUCCUGGUGUGGCUCAUGCCACCAUCCUUUAUCCUGGUGUGGCACGUCAGGGUGGCUGCUGUGUGUCCCAGGACUGCAGGUCCCAGGAUUGCACAUCCUGGCAAUUCCAGAUGCCAAUGUCACACGUCCCAGCACGGUGUGUCAUGACGUCCCAGCAUCUCCCAUCUCCACGUCCUGGUCCAAGCACCGUGCGACCCAGCACUGUCGUGCAGGCUCUGCAGCUCAUCCCAGUGCUGCACAUUCCAUCACUUAUCCCGAUGCUCCCUGUCCCUGCACGGGCUCCUCUCUGUGGGAUCAAAGCCUCAGGCUUGGUACUCACUGGCCUCAUUUUGGGAGAGAAAAGGUGUGUUUGGGACCAUUUUGCCAGAGGCUCUGGGGCAGGAGCCUCUUUGUUGGCUUUUCCCUUUGCCUGCAGAGGCUCCAGCCCAGAGAUGAUCCUGCAGGAACCACCACGGAGAAGAUCCAGGUGAUCCCAGCAUGUGGGGAAGGAAGGCGGCACUGAUGGGGGGCAAAUCCAAAAAAAACCCCAGAAAAUCCCAAGUUAGUGCAGGAGAAAGGAGAGCUGCCGUGGUCCGAGGAUGCCGAGUAUCGAGUGAGCCCCUACGCCGGAAAAAUCCCCCCAUUCCAACACCUCCAUCUGCAUCCCAACGCCAAAACCCUCCACGCUCUGCCAGAACCGCCAGCGAGACCCGCCUGGUUUUUGGAGCAACCCUUUUUCCUGCCAAAAAUCUGUAUUUUAAUCAUUUUCCUUGGCAGCAGCACAGUUAAGGAUCUAUUUUCUUUAGGAGACAGAUACGGCUCUGUAUCCUCGGGAAUUCAUGGCAGGAGUGGCAUAAAAAAAGCCGGAAUAAGCCCAGGUUAUGGAUUUUUCCCUCAUUUAUUUUGGGAUCGCAGCCUGCAGAGGUGCAUUAAUUACACCAAGGUGCAUUAAUUACACCGGCAUGGCAUCUGGAGAACUGUUUGGAUGGAAUUCCAUGCCUGAGGAAGGUUUGGAUUUAUUUAAAUCCUCGCCUCCAGACUCGAAUCCCUGGGAUUAAACUGGUUUUUUUUGGGAAUAAUGCCAAUCCUGUGCAUGGUCUCAGCUUCGUUACUCUGGCAAUGCUGUGCCUGGUUCCCGUCCAUUUCCAAGGCAGGGAAAGAUGCUGGGAUGAGAUUUCACCCCAGGAUGGAUCCCUCCCAUUCUGGGUUUGGGAUAAAACCCACCAACGCCACAUGAUCCUGAUGGAAUGGAUCCAGUACCAAGGCAAUAGGGUUUUGCACCCACCAAGUUCAUGCAUGUCCAGAGCAUUUCCUUUCCAUCCCACCUUGGAGAUAUUUGUGUUGUUUGGAAUGAUCCCAAGGAGCCAAACACAGCCUCACGGGUCCCCAGUUCCUGGCUCCCCACGAGGAAACCCAGGCUAAAACGCUGCUCCAAACAGCAAUGCCAUCAUUAGGCUCCAACAGAUCCAUUCACCAUCAAGAGCAGAGCCUCAAAAAUACUCCCUGGACAGGAAUUGCUAGGAAAGUGAUACUGGGGACCACGGACACUUCCCAGAUUCCAGGAUCCCAUUUGGAAAUAACACAGGAGCAAAGUGAAGUCACACAGAUUGAAGAGCAGGAGCAGCAUCCAUCCACUGGUGCUCGGUGGGUUGGCACAGGGAUGGGACUUCUCCUGGUUUGGAGCAUGGGAUGGCACUGUGUAACUAGAUUCCUAAAUAUUUCCCAGAUUUCCAUAGAUAUCCCAGAUUUCUAAAGAUUUUGGAGUGGAGAAAUGCAAAAGCACUGCUUCCCUGCCUGGUAUUCCAAAAAGAGUUGUCCAGUUGUUUGGCUGUCAGAUCAGUCCUGGCAUACACAGACUUAUCCAACCCUAGGAUCCACCACCUUCCUGGCCACCUCCUUGGAGCAUCUCCUGGCCAUAGAGAUUAUUUGGGGUUUGGGUUUCUUCUCCCAAGAUCUUUCUUUUCCAUGCAGAUCAAUCCACAGCACCUGGCUGUGAAAUAUGAGGCUGGAUGCCACGGCCACCAGGAUGCUGGGUCCUGCAGAUCCUGCAGCUUGUUUCCUCCAAUGCUGGGGCAAAAAAAGAAGGAAACAAGGAAAAGAUGUUUCCCAAGGCAGCCUGCGCCUCCUGCCACCCCGGCGUUCCGCGUGUCCAGGCUCAUCCAGAGCCUCCUGGGAUGAGGGUGGGAGGUGGGUUUGGCAAGCUUGGUGCCCUUGGGUGAUGCUGCAGCCGGCUGGAUCCAGAAAGGAUUGGGAGGCUGCUUCCAGCAGAGGGUUGGGAAGGCUGUGCCUGGAUGUAUCCGGCAGGGAAUCGGGGAUGCUGUGUCCAGAGGAUUCUGUUUCUGGUGGCUGCGGUAUGGAAUUGAAGAGGCUGAGCCUGGAUGGAUCCAAUAUCAGAUCCAGGAUGCUGUGCCCAGCUGGACUCAAUACGGGAUCAGGGAUGCUGCUGUGCCUGGAUGGAUCAGGAACAGGAUCAAUGGCGCUGAGCCCGGCCGGAUCCCACACGAGACAAACGUGCUGUGCCCAGCGGGGCCCAGUUUGGGAUUGAGGAUGCUGCACCCAAACGGAUCCAGUAGAGGAUCAAAGAUGCUGUGUCUGCCUGGAUCCAGGCCAGGCCCAAGGAUGCUCUGUCCUGCCAUUUUCUGUUGUGGGAUUGAGGAUGCUGAGCCUUGCUGGAUCUGGCACAGGAUCAGGGAUGCUGUGCCUAGGCGGAUCCAAUAUGGGAUCAGGGACACUGUGCCCAUCCAGUUGCACUUGGCACGAUGAUGUCCUGGAAUCUGGGGCACCCCUGUGCUGCCACACUGUGGAGCUCACCGAAGGGGGCUUGGUGAUGGGCACAGCGGGCAUGAGCAGCCAUGGGAUCCAGCAGGGCCUCACCCAGCAGCACCACAAAAUUCACCCAACCUGCCCCAGCAUCCCUAGCUCCCCCACACACACCCCUCACUAACUUGGCUCCGUGCAGAGGCCCCAGUCCAUUGGAAUUCAGCCCCGAUCCCAACCCCAGUCAUCCCCAGUCAUUGCUCUAAAACACUGGGGAGGCGACACCCGCUCCGGCCCCUGUUAAUUAAUCCCCUUUCUGGGAUUCAUUAAAUCAUCGUUAGCGGUGGCUUGUGACAGAUCCCAAUCCUUCCUCAUUAUCCAGGAUUCCUUGCCAGUGUUUGGCAUCAGGGUCAGUCCUGCUUCAUCCCCAAAACCUCAUAAUCCCAAGAGUGACAAAUUUGGAAUACAACCUUUAUCCAGCUGACUGCAAAACACCGGAAUGAUUAGCUUAUCGGCCCUCCCCAUCCCAGGAUUUUCACUCCACGGCCACUCCAACCAGUUGCUUCCAGGAAAGCAAAAGUAGGAAAACCCGGAAAAUAUGGAAAACUCCAGGCGAAACCAGCUGGAUCCCGGGACUUCAAACCAUUGUAAAUGCCAUAAUACUGUUGUCCCAUAUAUGUUCCACAUGGGAACACAGUUCCCUAUGGAUUCCGAGAAAUAAUAACGCGGAAAAGCAUCACUGGAGCGAGAAACACACGUGGGCAACCAGGAGUGAGGUUGCGGUGCUCCAGCCCGGGAUUCACUGGGUACCACCGGCAUCCCUCCCCGAAGGCUCAGGACCCCCGGAGGGCUGAGAAUUCCCUCAUCCCUCGGGGGGCCUGAGAAUUCCACCCAGGAUAGCCCUGUAGGGCCGCGCAGGGAGCACCUGAUGUUCCUAAAAUACCUUUAUAUCCCUGAAAUUACUUUAAGACGCUGACCAAGAAGUUGAGUGGGUUUGGGGGUCGAGACUGUCUGCUGAGGGGAGUCAGCUCCCCCUCUCCUACGACUCUCCCCCCCCCAGUUCUAGCUCAAUUUGCUUAAUCACUUCUCCCCCCGCGGCCAAGGUUGGCCCAUUAACGGCUUUAAAACCCUUUUAAAUGAGAAAAGCGGCAACUCAGGGUCAGGUUUCGGGGCGGGUCCCCCGGAGUGAAGCCCCCCCCAAAGUCCCCACCCCCAAAGGGGCAAAGUGAACCAAAAACAAAGCAAAUAAACUGAAUUUCUUGGGGUUUUUUGUAAGCAUCCUGCAGGAGGGGCUGUGAGGCUUAGGGGGGUCUGAGCACCCGCAAAAGGUGAGGUGAGCC